rnacentral:rRNA from 1 species
UACGGAGGGUGCAAGCGUUGUUCGGAAUCACUGGGCGUAAAGCGCGUGUAGGCGGCCUCCUAAGUCUGAUGUGAAAGCCCGGGGCUUACCCCCGGAAGUGCAUUGGAGACUGAGAGGCUUGAGUACCGGAGAGGAGGGUGGAAUUCCUGGUGUAGCGGUGAAAUGCGUAGAUAUCAGGAGGAACACCGGUGGCGAAGGCGGCCCUCUGGACGGAUACUGACGCUAAGGCGCGAAAGCGUGGGGAGCGAACAGG